GUUAGGAAUAUUGGACAAUGGGCGCAAGCCUGAUCCAGCCAUGCCGCGUGAGUGAUGAAGGCCUUCGGGUUGUAAAGCUCUUUAGCCGAUGAUUAUAAUGACUGUAGUCGGAAAAUAAGCCCCGGCUAACUUCGUGCCAGCAGCCGCGGUAAUACGAAGGGGGCGAGCGUUAUUCGGAAUCACUGGGCGUAAAGCGUGCGUAGGCGGCUUUGCAAGUUGGGAGUGAAAGCCCAGGGCUCAACCCUGGAAUUGCUCUCAAAACUGCAAGGCUCGAAUUCGGGAGAGGAUAGCGGAAUUGUCAGUGUAGCAGUGAAAUGCGUAGAUAUUGACAGGAACACCAGUGGCGUAAGCGGCUAUCUGGACUGAUACUGACACUGAGGUGCGAAAGCGUGGGGAGCAAACAGGAUUAGAAACCCCGGUAGUCC
rnacentral:rRNA from 1 species